UACGUAGGGUGCGAGCGUUGUCCGGAAUUAUUGGGCGUAAAGAGCUCGUAGGCGGCCUGUCGCGUCGGUUGUGAAAGCCCGGGGCUUAACCCCGGGUCUGCAGUCGAUACGGGCAGGCUAGAGUUCGGUAGGGGAGAAUGGAAUUCCCGGUGUAGCGGUGAAAUGCGCAGAUAUCGGGAGGAACACCGGUGGCGAAGGCGGUUCUCUGGGCCUUACCUGACGCUGAGGAGCGAAAGCGUGGGGAGCGAACAGG
rnacentral:rRNA from 1 species